GUCGAGCGGAGUUUUGAAAAGCUUGCUUUUCAAAUCUUAGCGGCGGACGGGUGAGUAACACGUGGGCAACCUGCCCUUGAGACGGGGAUAACUCCGGGAAACCGGAGCUAAUACCGGAUAACACAUAUCUUCGCAUGAGGAUAUGUUAGAAGGUGGCUUUUAGCUACCACUCAAGGAUGGGCCCGCGGCGCAUUAGCUAGUUGGUGAGGUAACGGCUCACCAAGGCGACGAUGCGUAGCCGACCUGAGAGGGUGAUCGGCCACACUGGGACUGAGACACGGCCCAGACUCCUACGGGAGGCAGCAGUAGGGAAUCUUCCGCAAUGGACGAAAGUCUGACGGAGCAACGCCGCGUGAGUGAUGAAGGUUUUCGGAUCGUAAAGCUCUGUUGUUAGGGAAGAACAAGUACCUGUUAAAUAAGCAGGUACCUUGACGGUACCUAACCAGAAAGCCACGGCUAACUACGUGCCAGCAGCCGCGGUAAUACGUAGGUGGCAAGCGUUGUCCGGAAUUAUUGGGCGUAAAGCGCGCGCAGGCGGUUCCUUAAGUCUGAUGUGAAAGCCCACGGCUCAACCGUGGAGGGUCAUUGGAAACUGGGGAACUUGAGUGCAGAAGAGGAGAGCGGAAUUCCACGUGUAGCGGUGAAAUGCGUAGAGAUGUGGAGGAACACCAGUGGCGAAGGCGGCUCUCUGGUCUGUAACUGACGCUGAGGCGCGAAAGCGUGGGGAGCGAACAGGAUUAGAUACCCUGGUAGUCCACGCCGUAAACGAUGAGUGCUAAGUGUUAGAGGGUUUCCGCCCUUUAGUGCUGCAGCAAACGCAUUAAGCACUCCUCCUGCGGAGUACGGUCGCAGGACUGAAACUCAAAGGAAUUGACGGCGACCCGCCCAAGCUGUGGAGCAUGUAGUUUGAUUCAAAGCAACGCAAAGAAACUUACCAGGUCGUGACGUCCUCUGCUACUUCUAGAGAUA
rnacentral:rRNA from 2 species